rnacentral:rRNA from 1 species
UACACGCUGUGACUAGCAUAUCAAUAAGCGGAGGAAAAGAAACUAACAAGGAUUCCCCUAGUAACGGCGAGUGAAGCGGGAAGAGCUCAAAUUUGAAAUCUUAAAGGGUUUCCCUUUACGAAUUGUAGUUUAAAGAAGUGUUUUCUGUUGAGGUUUUGGUAAAAGUUCUUUGGAAUAGGACAUCAUAGAGGGUGAGAAUCCCGUAUUUGACCUUUACUUUCAACUUUGUGAUACACUUUCAAAGAGUCGGAUUGUUUGGGAAUGCAGUCCAAAAUGGGUGGUAAAUUUCAUCUAAAGCUAAAUAUUGGCGAGAGACCGAUAGCGAACAAGUACCGUGAGGGAAAGAUGAAAAGAACUUUGAAAAGAGAGUUAAACAGUACGUGAAAUUGUCAAAAGGGAAGCGUUUGACACCAGUAUUGUUUUUCUGAAAAUCAAUUAAAGAACUGUUUAUGCUAAGUUGUUUAGACUUUAUCAGCUGAUCUGUUUAGUUUUGAGCUUUUCUUUAAUGCACUUUUCAGUUAACGAGUCAACAUCGAUUUCUUUUGCUGUAAAAAAGCUUGAGGAAGGUGGCUUGAGAUUCGUCUUAAGUGUUUAUAGCCUCUUGCCUAUGCAGUCGGAGAGAUUGAGGUCUGCAGCGUAGAUCCUUCGGGGCUAAAUGCAUUUGUGCUAAGUUAUAGCAUUUCAUAGACAACUUGUUGACUAUGAUUUGUCUUGUAGCUUACUCGCUUAUGUUAUUUUACCUACGCUUAGGAUGUUGACUGAUAUGUAGUCGUA